AGUGAACGCUGGCGGUAGGCCUAACACAUGCAAGUCGAACGGCAGCACAGGAGAGCUUGCUCUCUGGGUGGCGAGUGGCGGACGGGUGAGGAAUACAUCGGAAUCUACUCUGUCGUGGGGGAUAACGUAGGGAAACUUACGCUAAUACCGCAUACGACCUACGGGUGAAAGCAGGGGACCUUCGGGCCUUGCGCGAUUGAAUGAGCCGAUGUCGGAUUAUCUAGUUGGCGGGGUAAAGGCCCACCAAGGCGACGAUCCGUAGCUGGUCUGAGAGGAUGAGCAGCCACACUGGAACUGAGACACGGUCCAGACUCCUACGGGAGGCAGCAGUGGGGAAUAUUGGACAAUGGGCGCAAGCCUGAUCCAGCCAUACCGCGUGGGUGAAGAAGGCCUUCGGGUUGUAAAGCCCUUUUGUUGGGAAAGAAAUCCAGCUGGCUAAUACCCGGUUGGGAUGACGGUACCCAAAGAAUAAGCACCGGCUAACUUCGUGCCAGCAGCCGCCGUAA
rnacentral:rRNA from 1 species